GUAAAAAGCAGACCGACGAGCGGACAAGGCGAAGACCUGAGCGGCAGCAGCGCAAACACGAAAAGCCAGAAGCAGCACCCAAACCAAAGCAAAGCAAAGCCCAGACCGAAACAACUCGAACUUCGUGCAGUGUGGCGGACUGAAGAGAAACCGAAGGAGCGGAAAAGAAGCGAAUUCGAGCGUAAACAAACAGAGAGAACUGGAGCGAGCGCCGAAAAACAAAAGUUAGUCCAAAGACACAAGAUAGAGUGAAAAACCCCACACACUCGCGGGAGUACAGGAAGAAGUUGUUCCGGAAAACGCGCCGAAAAGUGCAUUUCAGUUUUUUUUUCGAGUGAAAGUUGGGCGCCCACGCCCACGCCCACAAUGAACCGCUCGAACAGCUUUGUCAGCUCGCUGAAGUGGUGGCCACUGCAGGGCCACAACAACCAGCCGGCCGCCGUGGCGCCACCUGCCGGCAGCGGCGGCGGCUACUCGCAGUCGGCGCCCAGCUCGCCCACCUCCAGCUGGCCACCGCCACUGCAGCAGCAGCAGAACCCCUCUGCCCACCGGCUGCUGCCGCCCACCGCCCACCAGAAGGUCGCCGGCGGCGGCACCGUGGGCGCCACCUUCGGCAGCAGCGUCGCCGUGCAGAAGCUGCGCGAAUCCAAGUGGUUCAAGCCCGAGGAGCAGCGCAUCUUCUGCGCCGUCGUCGAGUGCGGCUUCGUGGUGGAGAUCCGCAGCAGCGCCGCAGCAGAGGCGGCGGCGGCCAAUGCGGCGGCAGCGGCCGCUGCAGCCGCCUCCGGUGACGCCGACGUCGACGCUUUGGAGGAGCUCGACUGCCCCCUCACCGCCCAGCCCCUGACCCUGACCCCACCGAACCAGGCCCCGAAGCCAAACCAAGCCCAGUCCCACCCACAGCGGCUGGUCAUCCCGCGCAACGGCAGCAGCUUCCUGGAGACGCAGGACGAGAACGAGACGCCAGUGGCCUCCUGGUACGGCAUCGUGCUCUGCAAGGUGGCCAAAGACAAUAAACCCAAGCCCGAGACCAUUGAGAUAUUUUCUGUGAAAAUACGCGAGAAUGGCACAUACAAACUGAUCAAGAUGCAGCUGGCGGACAUUUGGAGCCAUGGGUGGGAGCUGCGCAUCAACAACUUUGCCGACAAGGAGAAGGUGCCCCACAACGAAAAGGACAUUCGCAACCAGGUGUCGGUGGCGCGCAAGGCCAAGCAGAGUCUGUGGAACAACAACAAGCACUUCGUGUACUGGUGUCGAUACGGGAGUCGUCAGCAGGAUCUGCGGAAGCGACAGGUAACGACGAGUGCCAAUCACGUGCUGCUGCACCUGAUCAAUUGAUAAGCGGAGCCAGCCGGCGAAAAGCGAAAGGCCCAGAGCAAAAAUUUAAAGAAACGAAGAGAUGUGCUAAUGACAAGCCGACACAGAAACCAAAAUUUGCCACCCACUCCUCCUCCUGAUCCUCACCUCCCACCUCCCACCUCCCACCGCCCACCGCCCACCACCCACAUGCAUUGAUCGUUGUAGUUGCAGCAGCAAACAGCAAAUGAAGCGAAUGAAACCCCCAAGAAAGCUAUGUAAAAACACAGAGACACACACACAGACCGCACACUGACCCAAACCAUACACUCAGAACAAUGCAUGGACUAGAAACGAACUGAGGAACCCAGAAAAAAGAUCCAUUAACCUUUCUAGGGCCCCCCACAAGAUACUUAACCAUCAUCAUUCUGACUCAUGCUUGCUUUGCUCAUCUAUAUAUUCGCCAAAAAAACCAAAAAGAGAUGCUAACCCCGAGAAUUUCCGCAAUUUAACCAGUAGAAACUCAAAAGUAAUGCAUCCACCCAUUCCCAAAAAGAAGCGUUCAUCUCGCUGCCGUAGCGAAAGCAUUACUUUGCGCAUUACUCUAUAUGUAUAUACUAUCUGUAAACUCUGUGAGACUGCAAACUGCCCAUUUAGUGUUGAUGUGCUAUGAUGUGCAAGCAAAAAAUGAAAACAUGGGCCUGAUUUUUGAUUUUCGAUUUUCGAUCAAUAGAGAGACCUUGCUUGAUUUUCUUUUCUCCACCACUUUCAGUUAGAUUUUCCGGAUUCAAAGUCCCACAUACGUUGAGUUCUUGUAUUCAAAAGAUAGAGAAACAAGCUUAAAGUCUGGGUGAAUCGUACUGGAUUAUCUGGCGGAGAGAGCGGGCGUGAGAAAGCGAACCAAACGAACAGUACUGUAUUGGCGAAAGCGAAGAUCGGAAACGGGCGCCACACACACAGCACACACGGCACACAUCCCCCCUGUCUGUUCUCCUGCUCCGGCACUGCGAUCCCGGCCAGGCCUCCGAACCGAGAUAUGUCGGAGUGCGUGAAGUGGGGCAGCGUGGGCAUGAAUGCGGGCAUGCUGUUGGUGCUCAAUAAUCGGCAGAAAUGCCACUCCCACUCAAAGUAACUAGCCAGCUAACUAGGUACCUUCUUCACCUUUCCCCCACAUCGAUCUGAAUGUAUAUAUAGAAGAUGUAUGUGUGGAAUAGCUUGCUGAGCGAUUUUGUACGGCAAACAAGUAUUAAGGCAUUAAGGCGAAUUCGGAUGAUAAGAUAAUUUAUGGCUUAAGAACGCCCAGGGCAGUGGAAAAAACCAAAUGCAAAUAUACGUAUUAAGUGCGGAGGUAGCCAGGAAAAUUCAGAUCAGGGCGAGGGCUCUUUUUCGGCAGUAUUACCUACAACAUUGAGGAACCUUUAUAAUAUUAAAUUAUCAAACAAAAAACAGAAAGAAAACAGAAAACAGAAAAAGGCAGGGCGAAGCUGAGCAAAGCAAGGAGCACGGCCCCAAUCCAUACGUCACAAGAACACGACACACCCGCGCCCAAGAUUGUAGAGCUGUUGCAACUCGAGCUGCAACCCAUCAAGAUACAAUACCUUGUAUUUACAAUUGUGCAUACGACACAGAACGAGAGAGAGAGACACACACACACACUGUGAAAUUCGAAAAGACUUAUUAAAUAUUUGUUUGUUUUUUUGUCCUAAUUUUUUGUUUUUCCAUGUGAUUGCAUACGUAUACAUUAUUAUAUAUUUAUAUAGAUUGCGAAAAUGGCAAGCAUAUAUUGUUUUCUUCGUUGUUUAAGCGUAGUUAAGGUAAUAUCAAGCGAGACCCUACGUAGCAAGCAUAAUAGUUUAUAGCAUUGUAAAACAAUCAAAACAUUCGAAAUGUUUCGUUGUGGUUAGCUAUUUGGCUCUACGAGACAGCAGACGACGACUCAUGCAGAAAAAUAGAUCAGAGGAACGGCGGACCCAAGCAAAACAGAUAGUGUUCUUGCACUUGGGGAGCCGAAAACUGGACGCACUGUACGGAUACGGACUGUACACACGUAGGGCAUACCAGACAGCUACAAAACUUACAAAAUUACAAUAAAAAACCCCUAUAACUGAGUAAAGAACGCUAGUUCGUAAGCUAUACGUACAUUAUUACCUAUGUUGUUUAAGUUUUGUACUUUUAAGCAAUUUAUAACGUAUUUAUGGUAGUCUUAUAUACAUUUCGACAAUGUGAGGAAAUUUGAAUAUGAAACGUUUGUAAAAUGCUUUAUAUUGAUAUUAUUAUUAAAUGUUUACCAACGGAUAAAACAAUA